rnacentral:lncRNA from 1 species
GUCAGUCAAUCCCUUAAGGAGUUAUUGCCCUUUAUAGUCAAUUUUAACAACUUUUUUCGUCAUUUUUUGUAACUUGUACAAAAAUCUUCUUCUCUGAAACUACUGGGCCAAAUUUAAACUAACUUGGCCACAAUCAUAAUUGUGGUAUAUAGUUUAAAAAAUGUGUCCGAUGACCUCACCUACCAAACAAAAUGGCCGAACUGGCUAAAAUUAGAACAUAGUGGUAAAAUGCAGUUUUUGCUUUAUAUCUUUGAAACUAAGACAUUUAGGGCAAAUCUUUCAAGAUUUAAAUGUCCAUCAGAAUAAGAUCUAUCCCCUCAC